CAGCCGCCGCGGGAAUACCGAGGGUGCGAGCGUUAAUCGGAUUUACUGGGCGUAAAGCGUGCGUAGGCGGCUUCUUAAGUCGGAUGUGAAAUCCCUGAGCUUAACUUAGGAAUUGCAUUCGAUACUGGGAAGCUAGAGUAUGGGAGAGGAUGGUAGAAUUCCAGGUGUAGCGGUGAAAUGCGUAGAGAUCUGGAGGAAUACCGAUGGCGAAGGCAGCCAUCUGGCCUAAUACUGACGCUGAGGUACGAAAGCAUGGGGAGCAAACAGGAUUAGAUACCCGAGUAGUCCCUGUCUCUUAUAA
rnacentral:rRNA from 1 species